rnacentral:misc_RNA from 1 species
CGCCUCUUUGUUUUCUUCUUUCUCAUGCUUUUCGCUCCCGCACUGGAUAAAGGGUCGAGACGAGGGGCGGCACACUCCUCAGUGCGCGGUGGUAUCUCAGGGUCCAGUACCACCACCCUAGGUGCUGAGGCCAAACAGCCCCCCCUCCCCUCCCCCCGACUCUCUAAGCCUGCCGAACCACCUCUGGUGAUGACAGGGUCACGUACCAGUGUCAUGGGGCAGUCAGAGCGAUGUAUCACUGCUGAUGCCAGCGGUCCGGCCCUGGGUGGCGCUGUGUCGGAGCGACCUGCGACCGUGAGCAGGCGCUUGCACCAUCCAUGUGAUGGGCGAAGUGUCAGAGUGACUCGAAGGUACCUCACCGCCGGCCCUCACGCUGCCCACUCGCGUGGGGAGUGUCCGGGUCACCGCGAGGGGGAUGGACCAGGUGGCGACUGGCACAAUGGGAGCGGCUGUGAGGCGAGCUGCGAGGCAGAGACCGCGCUCAGGUGACUGAGUCGGCUCAUUGCUGUCACGCGGUCCUCUGCAGCUUCGCGCCACGCGCUGGGGCCUGUGACAGGCCGGGCAGCGUGAGCUCACGCCGUAUUAGGGGGAUGAACACGUUAAAGGAAAGGCAUCCUUUGGUAUACACUGCGUUGCCUCUUUUUUUGGCUUCAUCCUAUCCAAGAGAGCUAUGUGGCAGCGGCCGUCGUGGUGGGACUCGGCUGACAAGGCUGAUUCACCUGCUGGCCAGAUCGUUUUCAGGGCUUGGUGCCUCGUUUGGAUGCUUCGUUCUCUACCUCACUCUUUCCACCACAAGGCCCCCUCUUCUUUACGUGCUAAACUGAUAAACGGGACGAGCACAUACGCGCCGGUGUCGUGGCGUGUUUGCCGUGGGUCUUGAUGAUGUGCACCUGCACGACACGCGGGCACGCUCCAAAAAAAAACAAAAACAGCACGAGAACAUAGAGGAACUGAUUUUGUGUGCGCGCGCGCGUGGAUGUGCACGAAGCAAAAACUAGUGGAUUCAGCUUCCUGCAGUCAUGAAGUGUGUCCGACGCGCUUAGCCCACUUCUGCCGGUGCGUUAAGUUGGCGCACCAGCGUGCGUGCCGUGAAGGCCACUGCCAGCGUGUCUCUUUCGGCUAUACGUGGGCCUGAAUAUUUUUGCAGCUCUUGCACAUAAUGCCCUUCUUACCCGAUACUCGCGUGGUGCUCCUCCAACCUUUUGCAUCACGUUACUUUUCGACGCCGUCUUGUGCACACACGCACACACGCGUGCGUACGCGGCCAUGGCCGCAG